GACGAACCGUGCAAACGUUGUUCGGAAUCACUGGGCUUAAAGGGCGCGUAGACGGGCUCUCAAGUCGGGGGUGAAAUCGUUCGGCCCAACCGGACAAGGGCUUCCGAUACUGAGAGUCUCGAGGGAGGUAGGGGUCGAGGGAACUGGUGGUGGAGCGGUGAAAUGCGUAGAUAUCUGGAGGAACACCGGUGGCGAAGGCGGCAUCCUGGACCGGUAUUGACGCUGAGGCGCGAAAGCUAGGGGAGCAAACGGG
rnacentral:rRNA from 1 species